UGCCGUCACUUUUUAGCAAUAAAAGGAGGAGGAUGCAGAUACUCUUAAUUAAGUUUAGAGAAAGAGAACAGAAUCGGCGCUAAUAUGU